UUGAAAUGUGUUUUCUCCAGCCCAGACAAUCCAGACCGACCGGGGUGCUCUGUGAGAAACAGUGAUCCUUGAGGGACAACCGUCCAAACGCCUUAUUGGGUCCAGUGAAGGUGUCAGAAAGUGCAGGCUGAACCUUGAGGUCUUCAAGUCCCACCAGGGCACCGAGAGAAUCCUCCAACUCUGAAUCCAAAACCGGGUGGGUCUCCCUUGAUUUGCUACGGUAUUCAUAACUUCCUUCUAUCGUCUUCUGGCUCAUUUUGAAGGCAUUCUCACCUAAACCACAAUCUUCUAUUCCAUUAGAUAAUUGAGUGGGGUCUUCAAGACAUUGUUUAGGCUGAGGAAGGGAAAAAAACGAGUGAUAUUACCCCACAAUUUGAGCAUCAUCCUAAAAUAUUCACAAUUAAAAAAAAGAAGUAUACUUACUUUUCUGUGUAUCAAUGUGCAGGCUGUAUCCAGCACCAAAAUGACAAAGUGAGUAGAAAACCAGCUUAGCACUGCUCCCAUGGUGUAUCUCACACUGGAUGACAACACAUAACUAAAGUCCAGGAAGACUGUCAGUCUCGAUCCAUGCUUGCGGCAUUCUUUGUUCCUCCAUUGGUCCCAUUUGAUAAAAUCUCAAAAUGUUAAAUUAAUAAUCAUUUUCUUUCUUCAUCAGCAGUAUGGAGGCUCUUUAACACACAGGGAAAAAGGAAACGGUGACCCGCCAUGGUAAUUCUGUGAUCCUCCUACAGUGGCUUAAUCCACCCUGAAAAGGCAUGUACACUGUGAUCUCUGGGAUAAUAAGGACAGACACUAAGAUGCCUGGCUAUAAAUACAGAGCUGUAAAGUCAAGGAGGGCAUUAUGGACCAGUUCAUUGAAGAAAACGACCAGUGCACAAUAAAAUGUUUGUAAUGCAUCUACAUUACCUUGUGGCCUGAAAACUGUCAAUAAACUGCAAAUUAUAGGUGACAAUAGGGAAGCAACAGAAGUCAUUUCUUCAUUAGGACAUUAUUUUAUAGAUAUUAUUUAAAAUAAAACUUUUAUUUUUCCCUUGGUAGUUUUUGUCUUAAUUCAUAUACAGUAAAUCUCUGUAUAUGUUAAUAGGAGCCAAUAAACGAUUUGCUGAAAACCUCACUUUUGGCGCCACCUUGUGGUAUGUUGGUGCCAACGACACAAUUAGAAGUGAAUUGAAGAGCUCCAGCACCCUUUGCCACAAUCUGCCUAUAUUAUAUUAACUGGUAUUGGGGGAGAAAAUUAAAAUAGACCAGAAUCUAAUGAGCAAUUUUCUUGCUUUAACUUUCAAUCUAUUCAGUCUACUCAGUCAGCAAUUUUAAAGUAGAUUCGGCUUCAGAUGAAAUUUGAAAACUGGUCAAUAAAGACACUGAACAAAUA